UUGCUUUGGUGGUACACACACUAAGAUUGGAACAACACAGAGAUUAACAUGGCCCCUGUGCAAGGAUGACACUCAUAUUCAUGAAUCUUGCCAUAUUUUU
ensembl:snRNA LOC120096096 U6 spliceosomal RNA